AUUCUUUUGUAGCUCAUAAGUGCGACCGUUGAGUGUUCAUACUCAUGUGUGAGCUGUGCCUCCGUCAGUCCUUGUUACAGCAGAUGAAAAGAGGUGCAAGGGCGUGUGUCCCAUUUGUAA
ensembl:snoRNA